rfam:Otolemur garnettii contig168886, whole genome shotgun sequence.
GCUGGACAUGGUGGCACAUGCCUGUAGUCCCAGAUACUCAGAAGGCUGAGACUGAAGGACCACUUGAGUCCAGGAGUUCUGGGCUGUAGUGUGCUAUGCUGAUCGGGUGUCGUCACUAAGUUUGGCAUCAAUAUGAUGACCUCCUAGCAGUGGAGGGUCACCAGGUUGCCUAAGUAGGGGUGAACUGGCCCAGGUCGGAAAUGCAGCAAGUCAAAACUCCCAUGCUGAUCAGUAGUGGGUUCCCCCUGUGUAUAGCCACUGCACUCCAGCCUGGCAACAUAGCAAGAUCUCAUCUCAA